CAUCAUCGUGCGUGUUUUGUCAACAAAGGUCGGAGUCAAAACAAUCCGAAAGUUUGCCGUGCCGCUUAGAAAGUGAUUUGGAAAUUAGAGAAAAUAAUCAUUAUUUAAAAGUGUUUAAUAGUUGUUAUUAUGUAAACUAUUGAUUAAGCACCUAAUAUAACAGUGAAUAAAGUGAAUUCUCAGUUUUAUCCUACCACCGCCAGACUUCGGUGUCCUGCUCGAGAGGUGCGUGUGGACGAUUGAUAGUGUUAUCAAGAAAUUGUACCCGGAUUCCCUCGGCGACAUCGCAGGAAGUGCGAUCAUUAUCCAGGCAGGUGGUAUCUAUUCCGAUUCCGAGUGUGAUGGGAACCAACGCGAGCCGCUCCUCCAAUCUGCAUUCUUCUGCACCCGGCAGACAAG